rnacentral:rRNA from 1 species
CCCUUAGAUGUUCUGGGCCGCACGCGCGCUACACUGACGAAUGCAACGAGCUUAUAACCUUGGCCGAAAGGUCUGGGUAAUCUCCAAAUUUCGUCGUGAUGGGGAUAGAUUAUUGCAAUUAUUAAUCUUCAACGAGGAAUGCCUAGUAAGCGCAAGUCAUCAGCUUGCGUUGAUUACGUCCCUGCCCUUUGUACACACCGCCCGUCGCUCCUACCGAUUGAAUGGUCCGGUGAGAAUUUUGGAUUGAUGUUUCGUCGGGUUAACGCCAGACUUUACGUUGAGAAGUUAUUCAAACCUUACCAUUUAGAGGAAGGUGAAGUCGUAACA